rnacentral:rRNA from 1 species
CGGAGGAAAAGAAACUAACAAGGAUUCCCCUAGUAACGGCGAGUGAACCGGGAAGAGCUCAAAUUUGAAAUCUGGCGUCCUCAGGGCGUCCGAGUUGUAAUCUAUAGAGGCGUUUUCCGUGCCGGACCGUGUCCAAGUUCCUUGGAACAGGAUAUCAAAGAGGGUGACAAUCCCGUACUUGACACGACGACCGGUGCUCUGUGAUACGUCUUCUACGAGUCGAGUUGUUUGGGAAUGCAGCUCAAAAUGGGUGGUGAGUUCCAUCUAAAGCUAAAUAUUGGCGAGAGACCGAUAGCGAACAAGUACCGUGAGGGAAAGAUGAAAAGCACUUUGGAAAGAGAGUUAAACAGUACGUGAAAUUGUUGAAAGGGAAACGAUUGAAGUCAGUCGUGACCGAGAGGCUCAGCCGGUUCUGCCGGUGUAUUCCCCUCGGUCGGGUCAACAUCAGUUUUGUCCGGUGGAUAAGGGCGGUAGGAAGGUGGCACCCUCGGGUGUGUUAUAGCCUGCCGUCGCAUACAUCGGGUGAGACUGAGGAACGCAGCUCGCCUUUAUGGCCGG